GUUAGAAGGCCUUGACAUAAGGGUUGUUGAAAUGAAACGCUUGAAAACCUGGCCCUCAUUCAGGUGCUAUAAGCUUGGUUUGGGAAAGCUACUCCAAGAGAAGAAUCAUAGUGAAGAACUUUUUAGCAGAUUGGUUUUAGUUGCAUAAGCUUUAAGUGAGAAAACAAGAAAAGAGAAUACGAAAAAGACAUGUCUAGCUAGAAUCUUUCCUGUUCUUCCUUUCUUUUUGGGUUUAUUGGGCCUAGUUCUCACAACCUUGGGGACUAAUCCAAUACCACUGAGCCAACACAUCCCUAUGUACAAAUACUCAGGCCUGAAAUUGGACAUCUUUUUUUCUUCUUGUUAACUUUAUGAGCUAUUAAAU
rnacentral:misc_RNA from 1 species